AAGUUUGGUAUGGGGAAAGGGUAGAGAGGAUCUUUAAGUGAUUUCUACUCCUAUAAAUUAAUAGGAGUAGAACCACUACGGUCCCCUAAGUUUUCUGGGCGGAAAAAAAAUCAGCUCCUCUCGAUAGCUCUGACUAGAAGGAAGCCUAAAACUUAGUUAACAAUUAAGAAAAACACGUUGUUCUAAAUUGAGUUUACGAUUUAUAUCUACAAGUGAACCUGCCUAACAACGGCCGAGAAGAUAAAACAGCUGAACACUAGCAGUUGGUCGUGAGUUCGUACCUCUUCAACGGGCUGGCCAUGUGGAAUUUUCCGGGUUUUAAAUAUAUUUAGGGACCACUUUAGCAUAGAAAGUUCUCUCGGGAGAUCGUCCACGUGUCCGUUGACGUAUUAUCAACAACUACUACAAAUGAAUGUGUUAACUGAUUAACAAGAUGAAUUUAUUCAUAGACCCAAAAUUGUAAUUUGUGAAGAUCUUUGACUCGAGAAAAUAAUCAGAUAAACAGUUGAAAUUAAAAAAAAAUACUCCGAGAUAAAUUUUAUUAGCUCUUAGUCAACAGAAACUUCAACAAAAACAAGUCGAGUAGACGAUACUCAGACAGGAUCUAGUUAUAUAAAUUGUGAUCAGCAUCGACACCAUUCUUUGUUUAUCACGAGUUUAUCAAACUUUCCGAAUCCUUGAAAAGUGUCGACGUACGCGAAGCUAAUUAUGAUUUUGUGAAUAUUUUCAUGUAGGAAAAUAUUCACAAAUUUAGACAGAUUUACACUAGAAAACGUACUUUAUUCUGAACGUCACAGAAAAGGCAUAAAGUCUACGACUAUUGUAUUCAGAUCACAAAGAUUAAUCUGCGUAAUCUCCAGUGGGAUGAGGCUCAUAGGUGGUCGAGUGAAUAAAACCACGGAAUGGGUUCGUGCCUCACUAACCGGCUGACAAUGUGAAGUUUUCUGAGUUUUCUUCACCUAACACCUUAAUAGGGGCCAGUUUUCUUUAGGAAGUUCUCCCGGGAGACAUCCCCUUGACAAAUCGUUGGUUUAUAGAAUGUGUUGUGUUGGCACAUUCCACAAACCAACCAAACCAAGCGGGAUGAGUUUCUAAAAUCCACAAUAUAUUUAUUAGUUUUAAUCUGUUUUGAAUCGUGUAGUUCCUUAGGCAAGCGUAACUUGCUAAGCAUCAUUUAUUAGUUAAUAUAGUAUUAAGCCCGUAUCACAAAUGGUACUUAGACAGAUUUUAAUAUAAUACAUUGCAUGCAGCGAUCGCGUUGCAUGCAAUGUAUUAUAUUAAAUUGUGGAACUCAAAAAAUUCCAGACAGAACUCCAAAUUUCUUCCACGUUCGUUUAAUCUGAGGGGAGCAAAGUUGAUAUCUACAAUCUCUCUUUACAUAAGAGAGAUAGAGGGGGAGUCAACAAGACCAUAUCGUCGAGCCCCUGGACAUUAGCAGAUUCAGUAAUCUUUAGAGGGAAAGCAGAAA